rnacentral:rRNA from 1 species
UACGUAGGGCGCAAGCGUUGUCCGGAAUUAUUGGGCGUAAAGAGCUCGUAGGCGGCUUGUCACGUCGAUUGUGAAAGCCCCGAGGCUUAACCUCGGGUCUGCAGUCGAUACGGGCUAGCUAGAGUGUGGUAGGGGAGAUCGGAAUUCCUGGUGUAGCGGUGAAAUGCGCAGAUAUCAGGAGGAACACCGGUGGCGAAGGCGGAUCUCUGGGCCAUUACUGACGCUGAGGAGCGAAAGCGUGGGGAGCGAACAGGA